UGAAGAUAAGCCACGACCACAUAGCCUGUU
rnacentral:piRNA from 1 species